GGGGAAUAUUGGACAAUGGACGGAAGCCUGAUCCAGCAACGCCGCGUGAGGGAUGACGGCCUUCGGGUUGUAAACCUCUUUCAGCACAGGCGAAGCUGCUACCACGUGUGGUGGUGGUGACGGUAUGUGCAGAAGAAGCACCGGCCAACUACGUGCCAGCAGCCGCGGUAAUACGUAGGGUGCAAGCGUUGCCCGGAUUUAUUGGGCGUAAAGGGCGCGUAGGCGGCUCUGCACGUUCGUUGUGAAAUCGCCCGGCUCAACUGGGCGGGGUCAGCGGAUACGGCGGAGCUUGAGCAAGCUAGGGGGCAAUGGAAUUCCCGGUGUAGUGGUGGAAUGCGUAGAUAUCGGGAGGAACACCAGUGGCGAAGGCGGUUGCCUGGGGCUUUGCUGACGCUGAGGCGCGAAAGCGUGGGGAGCGAUC
rnacentral:rRNA from 1 species